ACACAUGCAAGUCGCACGGUAAUUCCGGCUUCGGUUGGGAACGAGUGGCGGACGGGUGCGUAACGCGUAUGCAACCUGCCUUAUGCAGGGGGAUAGCCCAUGGAAACGUGGAUUAAUACCCCAUAUUUUCACUAUACUGCAUGGUAUUAUGAAAAAAGUUACGGUGGCAUAAGAUGGGCAUGCGUCUGAUUAGUUAGUUGGUAAGGUAACGGCUUACCAAGGCUACGAUCAGUAGGGGUCCUGAGAGGGUUAUCCCCCACACUGGUACUGAGACACGGACCAGACUCCUACGGGAGGCAGCAGUGAGGAAUAUUGGUCAAUGGCCGCGAGGCUGAACCAGCCAUCCCGCGUGCAGGAUGACGGCCCUAUGGGUUGUAAACUGUUUUUCUACACCAAGAAACUCUCGUUCGUGAACGGGACUGACGGUAGUGUAGGAAUAAGCAUCGGCUAACUCCGUGCCAGCAGCCGCGGUAAUACGGAGGAUGCAAGUGUUAUCCGGAUUCAUUGGGUUUAAAGGGUGCGCAGGCGGGGAUGUAAGUCAGUGGCGAAAAGCUGCCGCUUAACGGUAGUCUUGCCAAUGAUACUGCAUUUCUUGAGUAUGGUUAAGGUAGGCGGAAUGUGCAGUGUAACGGUGAAAUGCAUAGAUAUUGCACAGAACGCCGAUUGCGGAGGCAGCUUACUGAGCCAUAACUGACGCUGAGGCACGAAAGCGUGGGGAGCGAACAGGAUUGGAUACCCUGGUAGUCCACGCUGUAAACGAUGUUCACUCGCUGUUUGCGAUAUACAGUAAGCGGCUUAGCGAAAGCAUUAAGUGAACCACCUGGGGAGUACGAUCGCAAGUUUGAAACUCAAAGGAAUUGACGGGGGCCCGCACAAGCGGAGGAACAUGUGGUUUAAUUCGAUGAUACGCGAGGAACCUUACCUGGGCUUAAAUGUAUGCUGCAUUCAUGGGAAACUGUGAUUACCUUCGGGACUGCGUACAGGGUGCUGCAUGGUUGUCGUCAGCUCGUGCCGUGAGGUGUCGGGUUAAGUCCCAUAACGAGCGCAACCCUUACCGUUAGUUGCCAUCAGGUAAAGCUGGGGACUCUGGCGGGACUGCCACCGUAAGGUGAGAGGAAGGUGGGGAUGACGUCAAAUCAGCACGGCCCUUAUGUCCAGGGCUACACACGUGUUACAAUGGCCGGUACAAAGGGCAGCUACUCUGUAAAGGGAUGCUAAUCCCGAAACCCGGUCUCAGUUCGGAUUGGAGUCUGCAACCCGACUUCAUGAAGUUGGAUUCGCUAGUAAUCGCGCAUCAGCCAUGGCGCGGUGAAUACGUUCCCGGGCCUUGUACACACCGCCCGUCAAACCAUGGGAGCUGGGGGUGCACUGAAGUCUGUGA
rnacentral:rRNA from 1 species